rnacentral:misc_RNA from 1 species
GUAGGUGAACCUGCGGAGGGAUCAUUACAGAGAACAUCGCCCUCACGGGUGACUCUCCAACCCUAUGCUAUACAACCUUUGUUGCUUUGGCGAGCCGCCUCGGCCGCUGGCUUCGGCUAGCGAGUGCUCGCCAGAGGACCUAAACUCUGAAUAUUAAUGUCGUCUGAGUACUAUAUAAUAGUUAAAACUUUCAACAACGGAUCUCUUGGUUCUG